ACGCACGCUGGCGGCAUGCCUAACACAUGCCAGUCGAACGAGACCUUCGGGUCUAGUGGCGCACGGGUGCGUAACGCGUGGGAACCUGCCCUUAGGUUCGGAAUAACUCCCCGAAAGGGGUGCUAAUACCGGAUAAUGUCUUCGGACCAAAGAUUUAUCGCCUUUGGAUGGGCCCGCGUUGGAUUAGCUAGUUGGUAGGGUAAAAGCCUACCAAGGCGACGAUCCAUAGCUGGUCUGAGAGGAUGAUCAGCCACACUGGGACUGAGACACGGCCCAGACUCCUACGGGAGGCAGCAGUGGGGAAUAUUGGACAAUGGGCGAAAGCCUGAUCCAGCAAUGCCGCGUGAGUGAUGAAGGCCUUAGGGUUGUAAAGCUCUUUUACCCGGGAUGAUAAUGACAGUACCGGGAGAAUAAGCGCCGGCUAACUCCGUG
rnacentral:rRNA from 1 species